rnacentral:lncRNA from 1 species
CCCAAAGAUCAUGUUGAUCACCCCUGCAGUUGACUGAUUAUUGAUAGCCUCCUCAGUUUGCGGCUGAGAUCAUCGAUUGGUAGGAGGUUGAGUCGGUUGAUCCCUUCGGCACCUCUCGAGGUAGUCUCAUCGGAUCAGAGUCUCUAUCUCAUCCCUGAGCUGGAUGCAUAGUUCAGUAUCGUGAUCGUGAUCAUGAUGGAACCGACAGUGCUUCCUCCGAUCAUGAUUUCUCGAUGGAGCCUUCAUCGGUGGGGGGUGCCAUAGGUAUUCUGCUCCUUCGAUCUUCAUGAAAAUCUAUGCACAGAGAGCAGAGAGAGGAGUG